AGUGAACGCUGGCGGUAGGCCUAACACAUGCAAGUCGAACGGCAGCACAGUAAGAUCUUGCUCUUACGGGUGGCGAGUGGCGGACGGGUGAGGAAUACAUCGGAAUCUACUUUUUCGUGGGGGAUAACGUAGGGAAACUUACGCUAAUACCGCAUACGACCUACGGGUGUAAGCAUGGGAGCUUCGGACCUUUCGCGAUUGAAUGAGCCGAUGUCGGAUUAGCUAGUUGGAGGGGUAAAGGCCCACCAAGGCGACGAACCGUAGCUGGUCUGAGAGGAUGAUCGGCCACACGGGAACUGAGACACGGUCCAGACUCCGACGGGAGGCAGCAGUGGGGAAUAUUGGAGAAUGGGCGCAAGCCUGAUCCAGCCAUACGGCGUGGGUGAAGAAGGCCUUCGGGUUGUAAAGCCCUUUUGUUGGGAAAGAAAAGAAGCAGGUUAAUACCCCGCUGUCCUGAGGGUACCAACAGAAUAAGCACCGGCUAAUUUCGU
rnacentral:rRNA from 1 species